CACGUAGGGUGCGAGCGUUGUCCGGAAUUAUUGGGCGUAAAGAGCUCGUAGGCGGUGUGUCGCGUCGGCCGUGAAAACCUGGGGCUUAACUCUGGGCUUGCGGUCGAUACGGGCAUCACUGGAGUUCGGCAGGGGAGACUGGAAUUCCUGGUGUAGCGGUGAAAUGCGCAGAUAUCGGGUGGAACACCAGUGGCGAAGGCGGUGUUCUGGGCAGGAACUGACGCUGAGGAGCGAAAGCGUGGGUAGCAAACAGG
rnacentral:rRNA from 1 species